GUAAAGAACAAGUGGCACGUUCCAGUGACUAUCUCGAUGGGCAAUUGACCUUUCGCGAACGUCUGCUGGUGUGUCAUCACUUGAUGUUCUGCCCGAACUGCCGACGGUUUAUCCGCCAGAUGCGCCUGAUGCAGGCAACGCUGAAGAUAAUGCCGGAUGAGCCGGUUGAAGGUGUGGAUGCCUUGGCGCAGCGGCUGGCUGCCGAGCGGCUCAAGGAUCACAAAGGCGGGGAAUAAGCAGGCUCGCGCGGUUGGAUCGAACGGAUGAUGGGGAUCGAUCCAACCGCG
rnacentral:sRNA from 1 species